rnacentral:rRNA from 1 species
ACGAACGCUGGCGGCGUGCUUAACACAUGCAAGUCGAGCGGUAAGGCCCUUUCGGGGGUACACGAGCGGCGAACGGGUGAGUAACACGUGGGUGACCUGCCCUCAGCUCUGGGAUAAGCCUGGGAAACCGGGUCUAAUACUGGAUAUGACUCCAUGACGCAUGUUGUGGGGUGGAAAGCCUUGUGCGGCUGAGGAUGGGCCCGCGGCCUAUCAGCUUGGUUGGUGGGGUGACGGCCUACCCAAGGCGACGACGGGUAGCCGGCCUGAGAGGGCGACCGGCCACACUGGGACUGAGACACGGCCCAGACUCCUACGGGAGGCAGCAGUGGGGAAUCUUGCGCAAUGGGCGAAAGCCUGACGCAGCGACGCCGCGUGAGGGAUGACGGCCU